GCCAAACAGCUAGCUUAACAACCAAGUCCUCUCCAACGACAUCCGAAAACUUUCAUUACCCAAAAUCAACAAACUAAAACAUUCUCCUGCCUUAGUACGGGCGACGGAACAGGCAAACCCCAUCUUCAAAGCUAUAGAAAAAGUACCGCAAGGGAAAGCUGAAAGAGAAAUGAAACAACCCCCUCAAGCCCAAAAAAGCAGAGACUACCCCUCGUACCUUUUGCAUCAUGAUUUAGCCAGUCAACUUGAGCAAAGAGAACUUUAGUUCAAAAUCCCGAAACCAAGCGAGCUACUCCGAAACAGCCUUUUAGGGCCAACCCGUCUCUGUGGCAAAAGAGUGGGAAGAUUUCCGAGUAGAGGUGACAAACCUACCGAGCUUGGUGAUAGCUGGUUGCCUAAGAAAUGAAUAUAAGUUCAGCCUCAUACCCCUCAACUCCCAAAAAGCAUCGCCUUACCACCAAGAGCCAGAGAGACAUAUGAGAGUUAGUCAAAAGGGGUACAGCCCUUUUGAAACAGGACACAACCUUACUUAGGAGGCUAAGGAUCAUACUUAACAAGACUACUGCUUCAGUGGGCCUAAAAGCAGCCACCUGUAUAGAAAGCGUUAAAGCUCAGACAGCCAUAAGUCUAUUAUUCUGAUAAAUUUUUCCAACGCCCCUGUCCUUACUAGGCCAUUCUAUGCUAACAUAGAAGAGACCCUGCUAAAAUGAGUAAUAAGAAGGCACGCCCUUCUCCUCGCUUACGUGUAAGUCAGAUCGGACCAACCACUGACAAUUAACGAACCCAACCCAAGAGGGCACUGUGAACACGAAACCUAACCAAGAAAAACACACACACCACAAUCGUUAACCCUACACCGGUAAGCCCCCAGGAAAGACUAAAAAAAAAGGAAGGAACUCGGCAAACACAAGCCUCGCCUGUUUACCAAAAACAUCGCCUUCUGCAAAAAUCAAUGUAUAGAAGGUCCUGCCUGCCCAGUGACUAUUAGUUAAACGGCCGCGGUAUUUUGACCGUGCUAAGGUAGCGCAAUCACUUGUCUUUUAAAUGAAGACCUGUAUGAAUGGUGGAACGAGGGCUUAACUGUCUCCCCUUUUCAGUCAAUGAAAUUGAUCUGUCCGUGCAGAAGCGGACAUAACAAUACAAGACGAGAAGACCCUUUGGAGCUUUAGACACAAGGCCAAUUGCGUUAAUUUAACCCUAACUAAACAGGAAAAAACAAAGCAACUACUGACCCACGUCUUCGGUUGGGGCGACCGCGGGGGAAAACAAAGCCCCCAUGUGGAAUAGGAGCUAUCCUAAGCUAAGAAAGACACUUCCAAGCCACAGAACAUCUGACCAAAAGAUCCGGCAACCGCCGAUCAACGAACCAAGUUACCCUAGGGAUAACAGCGCAAUCCCCUCCAAGAGUUCAUAUCGACAAGGGGGUUUACGACCUCGAUGUUGGAUCAGGACAUCCUAAUGGUGCAGCCGCUAUUAAGGGUUCGUUUGUUCAACGAUUAACAGUCCUACGUGAUCUGAGUUCAGACCGGAGUAAUCCAGGUCAGUUUCUAUCUGUAAUGCCACUCUUCCCAGUACGAAAGGACCGGAAAAAUGAGGCCUAUACUUAAAGCACGCCUCACCUUAACUUGCUGACACCAACUAAACCAAACAAAAAGGGGCGACACCUCAACUCAAGAUAAGAAUAU
rnacentral:rRNA from 1 species